GACGAACGCUGGCGGCGUGCCUAAUACAUGCAAGUCGAACGAGAGCAACCGGUGCUUGCACUGGUCAAUCUAGUGGCGAACGGGUGAGUAACACGUGGGUAACCUGCCCAUCAGAGGGGGAUAACAUCCGGAAACGGAUGCUAAAACCGCAUAGGUCUUCGAACCGCAUGGUUUGAAGAGGAAAAGAGGCGCAAGCUUCUGCUGAUGGAUGGACCCGCGGUGCAUUAGCUAGUUGGUGAGGUAACGGCUCACCAAGGCCGUGAUGCAUAGCCGACCUGAGAGGGUGAUCGGCCACAUUGGGACUGAGACACGGCCCAAACUCCUACGGGAGGCAGCAGUAGGGAAUCUUCCGCAGUGGACGCAAGUCUGACGGAGCAACGCCGCGUGAGUGAAGAAGGUUUUCGGAUCGUAAAACUCUGUUGUUAGAGAAGAACAAGUGCUAGAGUAACUGUUAGCGCCUUGACGGUAUCUAACCAGAAAGCCACGGCUAACUACGUG
rnacentral:rRNA from 1 species